rnacentral:lncRNA from 1 species
AGGCGCUAACACUCUAGAGUCAAGAGUGCCUUACAGGGACAAUGCACAGUGGUUUGCAGGGACAGAACUUUCCCAGAGCUGUGGAGAUUGGCAUUGCAGCUGAACUUGUGCCUGGAUUGCAAAGUCAUUCCGGCACUUCUCCUUCACACAAAAGCUCUUGCUGCCCUGGAACUCAUUCUGUGAAGGAGGAGGGCCUGGAACUCACAGAAGUCUACCAGACUAAGCCUCAUCAGUGCUAGGAUUAAAAGUGUUCCCAUCACCAACCAGCAUGAAGAAAAUGUUUAAAGGGGACAUUGGAAGUGUGUCCCUGAAGGAAGACAAAGCCCUCCCUAACUCACAGCCAUUAAAAGUUUCCUGGGAUCCUGUUACUCUCCUGUACAUUUACAGGGAUCUCAGUCUUCAAUGAUGGCGAUGAAAACGUUUUCUAGGCCUUUGCUCUCGGGAUCUUCUCCUUCAAUUCCUAUUAUUCUUAGGUUUGAUCUUUUCAUAGUGUCCCAAAUUCCCUAGAUGUUUUGUGUCAUGAACUUUUUAGAUUUUUCAUUUUGUUUGAUGUAUCGAGUUCUUCUAUCAUAUCUUCUCUGCCUGAGAUUCUGUAUUCAAUUUCUGAUAUUCUGUUGGUGAUUCUUGUGUCUGUAGUUCCUGUUCUCUUUCCUAGGUUUUCCAUCUCCAGGAUUGCCUCAGUUUCUGUUUUCUUUAUUGCUUCUAUUUCCAUUUUCAGGUCUCAGACAGUGUUAUUCAUAUCCUUCACCUGUUUGUAUUUUCCUGUAUUUCAUUAUAUUUGUUUGCU